ensembl:lncRNA
AUGCAUACAAGUUGUUAUAUAGAUAAACCGAAUUUAAAUAAACAUUUUAAAACUUUACAUAGCAACCAUAACGAUCAUAACAAUUGUUCUGGUUUUUUCAACUGUGACAUUAAUAAAAAAUCAUGUACUAAUUUUUAUGAUGCUAACUCACAAGAAGACAGCCUUUUGAAAAUUAUGAACCCUUGCGAAAAACCUGAAAAUUAUUAUAAAAUGAUAAAUAAUAUCCAUAACACAGACAAAAAUAGUGAAAUGAAUACGAAGGUAAAAUGCUUACAAAGCGAGUGCAACUAUAAAAAUGGUGUAUAUUUACAUAAUAAAACAUUUAAUGGAACUGUUCAAAAUCAUAUAAAGCAUUUUAAUAAGAACAAUUCAUAUAUUACACAAAAUAAAAUAGAAAAUGAAAAUAAUCCAAAUGGUUGUCUAAAUACAAGCUUAUUUAACAAUGAAGUUUAUGUUAUGAAUAAAAAAGAAAACAAUGGGAAUAACGGUGCACAUCAUAUACAUGAUUUAUCUAAUAUUGAUUAUAAAAAUUCUCAAAAUGUGAAUAACAAAAUUAAUUUACUUAAAGAUAAACAUAUUAAAAAUAACAAUGAAACCAUUCAAGCUUAUAUCGUAAAUGCUGAUAUCAACCAUCAAUUUCCAAUGACAAACGACUCCUAUCAAAUCCAAUAUCAUAAUGAUAAUUAUCUUUCUAAAAAUUUUUUUUCUAUACCAAGUCUGAACUCGAAUUCAACUCUUGGCUUUAACUCAACAAUUUUAAAGCCUAAUUCAACCCUAGGUUCCAAUUCAAUAGCUUUGAACCCUAGUUCAACCCUAGGUUCCAAUUCAAUUGUUUUGAACCCUAAUUCAACCCUAGGUUCCAAUUCAAUAGUUUUGAACCCUAGCUCAACCCUAGGUUCCAAUUCAAUAAUUUUGAACCCUAGCUCAACCCUAGGUUCCAAUUCAGUAGUUUUGAACCCUAGCUCAACCCUAAGUUCCAAUUCAACAGUUUUGAACCCUAGUUCAACCCUAAGUUCCAAUUCAACAGUUUUGAACCCUAGUUCAACAUUAGGAUGUAGUUUAACAUUAGGAUGUAGUUCAACUUUAGGUUCUAGUUCAACAAAUUUGAAUCCUAAUUCAACCAUAGGUUUCAGAUCAACAAAUAUGAACCAUCAUUCAAUUCGUAAUACUUAUACAAACCAACACUAUCAAUUAUCGAAUGAUAAUAAAAGUAAUGGUACGUUAAUAGAUGAAAAUCGUGCCAAUUUAACUCUGAAGAAUCAAAAAGGUUGUAAUAUAGAGUAUGUAAACAAUAAUAAAUAUACCAUUAAUAACACAAGUCAGAAAUUUGAAAUAAAUGGAAAACAAAAUAUUAACACAGAAACAGAAAAAAAAAUAAAGCAUAUUAGUGCUCAAUUUGCUAAUAUAAAAGAAUAUGAAUUAAAAGACUUGAACAUGGAUGUUUUAACUAAAAUAAAUAAUUAUAAUUGUAAAAAUGAAAAUGAAAAAUUAACAUGUUACAAAAAUGAAAUAACAAAUAAAAAUAUGGAUAGUAAGACAUUUUGUUUGAAUAGUAGCUUAAAACAUAAUAUUACAAAAAAUCAUAUGAUGUCUUAUAACCAAAAACGAGCUAAAGAAAUAUUGACACCAAUUUGUAAUAAAAAAUUAAUAAGUAAUACCUGUAUUGGUAAUGGUAUCACUUACAAUAAUAGCAGUAGUUGUAAUUAUGAUGAGAAUAAUAUAACGGUUAAUAAUAACAUUAUUAAUACAAGUAGUAAUGAUAAUAUGCUCACUUCAAAAAAUAAAACAAAUGAAGCAACAAAAAAAAUGGAUUGUAAUAGUACUAUUACUUAUAGUAAUUUUAGUAAUAAUAAUGAUAAUAAUAAUAUUAACCACAAAAUAAAUUUCGAAAAUAAUACUCAACAUAAUACUCAAAAUAAUACUCAACAUAAUACUCAAAAUAAUACUCAAAAUAAUACUCAAAAUAAUACUCAAAAUAAUACUCAAAAUAAUACUCAAAAAAAUACUCAAAAAAAUACUCAAAAGAAUACUAUAAAAAACAGAACAGUAGAUAUAGUAAAUAAAGAAAAAAAAGAAGAAGAAAAAAACACUUCUUUCAAUUUAAAAUUGAAAACAGAAAACAUAACAUAUAAGAAUAAUUGUGUUAACGGUUAUUUUAACAUUAAAUCACAAAAUGAUGCAGAUAGUGCAGUUGAUUAUAAUACAAUGAUAAAUGAAAAUAUUAAUCACGUUGCUUAUGAUCCUAAAACGAACAAGUUGUUACAACAACAAGUAUAUAAUAAUGAUUAUAGAAUUAAUGUAGUAACUGAUCCUUUAAAAUCAAUAAAUAAUAUUAAUAUUUAUGAUACAAAUGUAACAGUUCCUAAAUCAAAUAAUAACCAUAAUUCUCAAACAUGUGCAACAUAUAAUAACACUUUUUUCAAUGAAAAUAAUAAUACGAACACAAAAAAUAAUUUUUUCUAUGACACUUCGUCAUAUAAUGGGACUAACACAUAUUUUUCUAAUAAUGAAAAUAAACAAAUAGAAAAAAAGUAUAACCACUUUAAUAAUGAAACAACGACAUUCAAUAAUACAACCAAUACGCUAUUUUCAAAUAAAGAGUCUGAACAUAGUUGUAAUUUAAUUGAGUGGUAUCCUGGGUUUGAUAUACCUAUAGGUACUUAUGGAAGAGCUGUUUUGAGAAAAGCAUUACAUAAAAAAAGAAUGGUAAAUGUAAAAAAAUAUGAUGAACUUUUAUCAUCAAACAAUUUAUUUCCUACUUCUAGGUCAACAUUUGGUGAUAUGAAAAUAAAAGACUUAUAUAAAGCGGCCUAUUUAUUAGGUGUAUGGAAUGUAGCUGAAAAGUACUGUUUAUUAGCAUGUGAAAGAAAUGGAUAUAAAACGGAGUGGAUUAUUAUGUUAAAAAAAAAAGGAAUUAAAGUUACUAUAAAAGCACUUAAAGAAAUUAGAAAUCAGCACAUUCAAAAUAAAAAAAAGUUAGAUAUUUUAAAUAAAAAGAAAAAAAAUAGUAAAAAUGGUAACGAUCGAAAUGGGAGCGGUCAAAAGGGGAACGAUCGAAAUGGGAACGAUCGAAAUGGGAACGAUCGAAAUGGGAAUGAUCGAAAUGGGAAUGAUCGAAAUGGAAACGGCUAUAACAAAAAUGAUACUAGCUGUAAAGAGCAUCAUGUUUCUAAUAAUAAUAAUAAUAAUAUUGAUAAUUUUCAAAACAAGUUUAAUGUUAAACACGAUAAUAAUAAAAAUUAUACACAAAAUAAAUGCUAUACUAAUUAUAUAAAUGUAACACAAUUGUUGGGUAUUCAAGAAAACCCUAACAUGUUAAGUUCUAAUAGUAUUAAUAAUAAAAAUAUAAGUUGUUUAAAUGGAUGUAACAACUCUAAUGUCGUAAAUAAAAGCACUAUGUUAAACAAUUUUAAUUUAGUGUGUUACCCUAAUAAAAACAUUAAUCCUAGUAGCAUAAAUAAUUCCAAAAAUGUUACAAAUACAAAUGAAGUGCAAAAAAACAUAAACAAAAAUAUAACAAGUCCUAAUUUGGUGAACCAAACUUGUUAUAAUUUAAAUAGAAAUGUGCUAAAAUGUAAUAAUGCUUAUGGUGAUUUUAAGGAAAAAAAUUUAUAUAUUAUAAAUGGAAAUAAUAAAAUGUAUAAAAAAAUGAUUGACCAUAGUAAUAGUAACAGUGGAAAUAAUAACAGUAAUAACUAUGUUAGUAGUAAUUGCAACAGUAGUAAUAAUAAUUUAAACUGUAUUAAAAAUGGAUUGACGAAUGGAUUGAUGAAUGGAUUGACGAAUGGAUUGACGAAUGGAUUGACAAAUGGAUUGACGAAUGGAUUGACAAAUGGAUUGACAAAUGGAUUGACAAAUGGGUUAACAAAUGGAUUGACAAAUGGAUUNNNNNNNNNNGGAUUGACAAAUGGGUUAACAAACGGAUUGACAAAUGGGUUAACAAACGGAUUGACAAAUAGAUAUAUACAAAACAAUAAUCACAAUACAAUGAACUUGUUCCAUAAUUCCCCAACAUAUAAUUUUACUCACUCAUCUAAUGACCUUUUAAAUAGCUCGAAUGGUCAGGUAUACACACUUAAUCCAAUUUUUAAUGAAAAAGGUGAUAAGACCAUCCUAAAAACGUUCUAUAAUAUCAACAGUGACAAUGUGAGUAAUAAUAAUGAUAGAUUCUGCAAUAUAUCCAAUGUCAAUACAAACAACAAUCAAAUAACAAAAGAUAUCAAUUAUGUAUAUACCCUUACGGAUUAUACUCAUGGUGUAACUUAUUCAAAUAUAAACAAUACUAAUACAAAUUGUCCUAAUCAAAACAAUUCUAUACAGUAUGUUAAUGCUCCUUUAAACAAUUAUUCUCAUUUAUUUCCAACUAAUCAAAAUUUAAACAUAUUAAAAACUGAAAAUAAUUAUAUUUUACAAAAUAAUAACAAUUAUGAGCAUCUGGUUAAACAUGUUCCUAACAUUUCUCACUUCGCAAAUGGAAAUAAUUCGUAUGUUGUCGAAUAG